AUGAUGAAAACUCCCUGAUCUGAAAAAUAAAUGAUGAAGACCGGUUCACUGA
rnacentral:snoRNA from 1 species